ensembl:lncRNA
CCAGAUCAGAGGCAGUAGGGAUGACCAGGGAUGUUCUCUGUUUAGUGAGUCCUCCAGAUCAGAGGCAGUAGGGAUGACCAGGGAUGUUCUCUGUUUAGUGAGUCCUCCAGAUCAGAGGCAGUAGGGAUGACCAGGGAUGUUCUCUCGCUAAAUAUAGACUUAGCUUUCAUUCGACAUACAAUUUGACAUGCUUCUAUGACCUUGACAUGUUGGUGCUCAUGGGUCCUUUUUACAUGGAAAUGCCCUAACCUAUUAGAGCCAUACUAAGCUAGCAGUUUCAUCAAGCUCUCCAAAAUAAUGAUAUCAAUGUUUCAAAGUUCAUCAAAAACAACCGUUGGCAACAUGAGGUAAGUAGUUAAAGAACAACGUUAUUACCAAUAAUGCUAACAAUGCUAACAAAGGCAUAAGACUUAAUGGAGAGCGCUAAAGUACCGUAUGCAGAAGAGAAACACUUUUCAGGCCACUCCAAUAAAGAACAGACUUAAGUUAGGAGAAUAAACACAGCAGGUUAGGAGAAUAAACACAGCAGGUUAGGAGAAUAAACACAGCAGGUUAGGAGAAUAAACACAGCAGGUUAGGAGAACUUACGCAGCAGGUUAGGAGAAUAAACACAGCAGGUUAGGAGAAUGAGGUUUAAGUUUAUGAAAAAGGUUAGCUCUCCUGACCUGCUCCAACGAAAAUCACCUCGUUUUGAAGUGGCUCUCCCGUAUGCAGAAUCAAACAUGAUGUUCUUUACUGGAGAAACCAAACUUUUUGUUUACUGAGGUCACAUGACGGGUAAGGUCAAAAAACCGCCAGCAGCGGACUGACAAACACACCCAAAUGGUACAUGAAUAAUCACAUUACAGAAGAAAAACUAAGAAUAGAGUUUCUAGACUCUACACAAGCUAUACCUGUCCCAAACACUGAACACUCCACACAAGCUAUACCUGUCCCAAACACUGAACACUCUACACAAGCUAUACCUGUCCCAAACACUGAACACUCUACACAAGCUAUACCUGUCCCAAACACUGAACACUCUACACAGCUAUACCUGUCCCAAACACUGAACACUCUACACAGCUAUACCUGUCCCAAACACUGAACACUCUACACAGCUAUACCUGUCCCAAACACUGAACACUCUACACAGCUAUACCUGUCCCAAACACUGAACACUCUACACAGCUAUACCUGUCCCAAACACUGAACACUCUACACAGC